UUUCAAUUUCCUAGGUUCCAAAUGCUUUCAGUUUUCGAAUUUGGUUUGUUUCUGUAGGCUAAGAUAUUAGAACCACCUCAGUCUCAGGACCUCCUUGUUGGAAGGAGAGGGGACUUUAAGGAGGCAGAGUUGAGGGGAUUUGGAAAGCACCAAAGUUUCUGAUCUUCACGCCAGAGCCAGAUGUCCUGAUUAAGGAGCAAAUGAAGUUUGGG
rnacentral:lncRNA from 1 species